AUACGUAGGUGACAAGCGUUAUCCGGAUUUACUGGGCGUAAAGGGCGUGUAGGCGGUCUUGCAGGUCAGAAGUGAAAUUCCUGAGCUCAACUCGGGCGCUGCUUCUGAAACUGCAGGACUUGAGUGCUGGAGGGGAUAGCGGAAUUCCUAGUGGAGCGGUAAAAUGCGCAGAUAUUAGGAAGAACACCGGUGGCGAAGGCGGGUAUCUGGACAGUAACGGACGCUGAGGCGCGAAAGCGUGGGGAGAAAACAGGAUUAGAUACCCUGGUGUUCCACGCCGUAAACGAUGAAUACUAGGUGUAGGGGGUAUCGACUCCCUCUGUGCCGCAGUUAACACAAUAAGUAUUCCGCCUGGGGAGUACGGCCGCAAGGUUGAAACUCAAAUGAAUGGACGGGG
rnacentral:rRNA from 1 species